CGAUGCGAUCGACGUAUCGAUCGAUGUGACGGAAGCCUGUUGUUGUUAAAAGCAACGAUAAAUAAUAAAUAACUGUGAGUUUUACCGAGUACGAGGAACGAAACGUUCGAGAGAAGAACAGAAACAAGCAACCACCAGGAGAAGAUGACUUUUGCUACGAAUUCGAUAAAUCGAUUGGAUUAUUUUCCUUUCACCGACUUUACGUCGCGCAACAUCGCAUCAUAAAUGAAUACGAAUUCGACUGGCAUCGAAAGCGCGUGAUAGUGCGCAUACACGUUUUUCGAGGAUCUUGAUCAAGGAUAAAAAAAGAUGGAUUGAGGAUAAAGGAAAAAAAUACGCGCCUGUUCCUACCAAGGAUCUCGUUGGAUGAGGAUGACGGAACGGAAUCUUCAACGGUUCGAUGACCCCGCUCGGAUAUUGAAUUUCCUCUUGCGGUAUAUAAAAAUACGGAUGAAAAGUGGCGUUAAAAGGAACUACCGGUUUGAGAGAGCUUUUUCGGUUAUAUAAAAUUUUUAUAGUACUGAUAGCAUCGAUAGCGAGUGAAAGUCAAUUACGCUUAUGUAACAAUUUCUUUUUUUUUUGCUAUAAAAAAUGUUCUCACAGGUAUUAGUUUUAGAUCCUGUAGGAAACGUUCGUGUUAGAUUAAAAUGUAAAAUUUCAAUAUAGAGUUCUUUUCGUUUAGAGCUUACUCGUUAUAGAGUUCAGUACUGAGUAGGUAAAAAUGCGCGAUGUAACAGAAGAGGCAGAAUCAGUUCUGAAGUAGCGUUAAUUUAGUUCUGGGAAAAUAACACAAUGAUCUGCAUCGUAGACAGAAAGUAUUUCACCAGAAUCCUUACAAUGAAUUUUUCAAUUCAUUUCCAAUUAAAUCUCAUUUUAAAACUAGAUGCCACCGCCGGUGAAGAAUUGCGCGUAUCAAAUAGCAACACGACGUUCGACCCACCGACAAUUUGUUAAAAAUUCGUAUACCUAAAGGGCCAUCAACCUUCCCAUAAAAUAACAAACAGAGUAAAAAGAAAUUAUGAAUUGUCAAUAAACAUGCGAUACAUUGAAUUAUAUAGAUAUAGUAGCGUUUAAAGGUCUUUAACACGCUAGCUACAAAAACAGGACAAAGAACAAAUAGGAAGCGUGACAAAUAGGGAUACAACACGUAUUUUCAAUACCGAGAACUCGGAACGAAGUUUGAUAGGACGGGAUCUACGUGGAACCGGUUCAUCCGCUUCUUUCGUUUCAAUGUAGUUCUAAACGUGACCCUCCCUCGGUAACAGGAACCUCAAGGUUAACGGCUGGUUGUCGUAAUAAUGCACUGAUGAAGUGACCGAUCGUUUGGAAAUAUUAAAAAUUCCAUCGCCGUUCUACAAUCGUGUAAUUAUUAUUUCGCUGCAGAUAUCGAACAGCGAUAGGCGUCGAACGAAUCCUGCUUUCCAAUCCUGCAAACGUGAUUUACCGAAGUGGGUCGCAGAGUAGAUUCGAUAUAGUGACCCAAGUCCUGCUUUUGUAUAAUCGAGUUUAGUAUAGAAUAGUGAAUGCAAUAAACCUUAACGAUCAAAGACAGCUUACGCCUGUCUUUCGAUAUUUUAAUAUUAUGACAAACAAUAUCUAGAAAAAUUGCCAGAUCGAUGUGUACACGUUUAUGAGCAUGUUUCUCUUCCGAUGUUAAACAAAUAUUUAUUUCAUAUUCGGAAAGGAAUAGCUUUCUCGUAAUAUAUAUUAUAUUCAAAAAAGAUGUUAGUUUCUUAGUAUGGAAUAUAAUAUUGCGUGUAUAUUUAUAUAUUAAAAGAAGAAUUGAAUCCCUUUCUAACAUCGUAUGAGUACGUGCUCGAUAUUUUGCGCUAGCAGGGUAGUUGCAAAGCUAAACUUAUUUUUAUCUUAAUGACGAGGAGCGUCUCCUGUUCUGCCGUGGAACGUUUCCUUAUUUCACUAUCGAAAUGCAGAAGGUAGAGCGAAUACUUGAGAUUUUUCGCGACGCAACGAAUCAGUUCGAGGACCUUACGUACCUUCAAGUCGACCGAAACACGCGAUGUCGGAAUUACGGUGGGCAGGCCCGACGUUAGUUCAAGUAAAGAAGAUCGAUAAAACUGCCGUGCUAAGUAUUCGCGAUACUAACAGCUUGCCGUGGAAGUCAAAGUGGCAAGUGAACUUUCUCAACGGUCCGAAGUUACGCUUCGUAAGUUUCGCUUUGGCCGGUAUCGAUGCUGCGACCAUCUUUUAAUAAAUUGCUCGCCGAGCGAAUUUCGCUCAACCAGGCUUCAGACAAUUCAGCUUACGUGAAAGCGGAAUGAAAAAGAAAGACAAAAAGAUAAAAGAUGAAAGUGGAAUCCAAGGUGUAAUUUGCGCCGAUGAGUACGCUUUCUAAGCGAGAAGAUCGUUUGACAUAUUAGCUAUUGAAUCGAAAACGCGGGAAUUCGGGCGGCUAGAGAAUUGUGUUCUUGUUAAGAGAAAUGGGAUUUUUUUUAGAAACGUGAAAUUAAUUCUACCUCGUUAGAAAAUCGAGAAUAUUCUCGCAUCUAGCGAAUCGACUGCGAUGAAAAUUUUGCCAUUUAUUAAACAUUGUAAGAUGUAUUAAAAUACUUUGUAUAUUUCAUAUAUUCCAUUUAUAUUACGUGCAUUCUGUGUAUUUUUGUCACUUCAAAUUUCUCACAAAUGCAUGAAAAUCCGCUGCUUAGCGAUGAAAGUAUCAAUGCUGGUUGCAGAAAUUCUCUUCGAUGACAUUUGACGCGAGGAAAUUAGUUCAAUUAUUAUUCCUACGUAUUUAAACGACAGGUAAAGUUUUUUAAAUUUCUCCUAUGAAAUGUAAUGUAUACGUACGUUUUUUAGAUGAAUAAUAUGCAGUAAUUUAUGCAUUAUACGCGCCAGAUGGCACGUUGCAUGGGCAAGCAAUAACAGCAAUAUUGUAUUAGCACGACAGAGGAACGGCUAUUGAAUGUGCAAGGGAAAAGCGGACAAAAAGUGAGAUAUUAAACGGGACGAGUGCUGUACACUUAAACUCGUUGUCGGCAGAACGUUUUGCCUUUAAUUAAUUUGCAGCGUGAUUGAAGACGGCAUCGUGGCUUUGAUUUUCUCUCGUUUUCAUAUUCGAGGAGCAGAUUUUUCUACGCUAUUCAUAAAUCAUUGAUAUUUCGAGAGAAAAUAAAGUAGAGUAUCUUGAUGAAUUUUUUUCGAUAAGCGUUCAAUAUCGCGUUAAAUACAGGAAAUAAAGUUAAAACCUUAUUGAUGAUCAUAAUACCAGUGAAGUAUAUAUAUCGCGUAUGUAUUCUAUGCUGGAUCAGAUUUUGUUCUAGAACAUUGAAUCUCUUAAGAAUGAGAAUACCUUCAAUGUUUGGUUAUUACCAUUGAAAGUGCUUGAUAAGUUUGAUAAACGAAGAUACUUUUUUUAACACUAUGUUGUACUAUAUAUAGAAGCAAUUAAUUGAGUGGCUAUCUCUAACUAAGAAAUAUAAAACGAUACAUAUUAUAUAGUCUCGAAAACCGCGUUGCUACUUCAGCUAUUUGGAAUUUUUGUUUUACGGUCUACGGAUCGCAGACAUAUUUGCGCAUCCACGUGAAACCGAAUCUGAAUUCUACUCUUAGACUUAGAAACACGAAGUCGAGAGAAUAUCACGAGUUCACUUGGUAUGGGAACUGAAAAUCGACGACAAUAUUUCUACUUGCUACCGUUGCAUAUCGACUUGACAUCAAAGUGAAUGUUGUCAAUAAAAGAUUAGAUAUUCGCGUGAAUUUUAAUACGCAAAAUUAAAUUAAUUUUAAUCUUGCGAUAAUGACAUUUAAUCGAUCUUCUUUUACCAUUUUCCUUACAAUGAAUUCAUGGCGGAGGAUACAAAAACCGAUAAUCAACUGCUAAACAAGUGUAUGCAAGCAUAAAGAUGAAAUCGUUUAAAGUACACGUUACAAUGGAGCACGUAAUUGAGAAACCUUCAAACUAUAGUUACCUUCUAAAUUUGCCACUGAAAUUCUAACCGGCAAUUAUUUCAAACAAAGGUUUCUGUAACGUUCAUGACUAAAACAAUUACACUGGAAUGUAGAUUACGAAUCUGUGAAUGUCGACUUUCACUUCUACUUUUUUAUGCAGCUGCACAGGAAUGAAAAAUGAAAAAAAAAAAAAAGAAAAAGACAAUAUUUUCUUUACAAGACUAAACGUUAGAUUCGGCUAAAAUCAAAUUCUUAUCUCUCUGUUAUGUUAGAGAAACUCUAUGUUAAUUUAAUCUUAUUUGUAGUAACGCGUUGAGAGUCUUUUAUCCCACUAAACAUUUCUUUUAGAUUCAAAUUGAAACAAUGAGAUUGGGAUAUAAGAAAUUGUAGAACCGUAGGAAAAUUAAUAACAAUGACCAAGUAUAAAAAUCUUACGUAUAGUAAAAUCAAAUGCAAGACAGUCUUCGAUAUUUUUCUAUAUGUGUAAGAAUAAAAAUAUAUAUAUUUCUAUGUAUAUAUCUUAAGUAACAUAUUUUGAUUUAACAAAAAUUGUAAAAAUGCAAGUAGAAUGCAAUUUUACCAAAUUAUUAAAUGCGAAUUGUGACAAAAAAUAAUUACGUCGCAAUAAACAAAAAAUAAUUUAACAGCAAAGAUAAUAUUUCGUAGUGUUACAUGAGGUGAAAGAGUAAUGGUUGAUAAAAGCACUGAGCAUAACAAGUUCACUUACGAUCAAUCAGAUUAUGCAAUAGAUCAAUGCUUGUACAUAACAAAUUAUCUUUCUUGCGAUUUCAAGAACAAGUAUGCAUACAGUAGAAAAUUUAUGUCGUUUCACGAAGCGUAUAUGAAAAGCGAUAGAAGAGAAAUAAAUGUUAUUUAUAUUAAAAAUAGAAUGAUAAAUAGGAUGCAGGAAUACGAUCUCGUUUCUUUAUGAAUUUAAGGGUAAAAAUUGAAAUAUAAUAAUAAUUCAUAUUCAAUAAUGUUUCAAACUUUUUCAUUGAAUCGUUUAUUUUACGUCAGCUAAUUAAUUACGAAGCUAAUACAAUAAAGUAAUAAAAUAUGUAAGUACACAUAUUGAAUUUCUAUUUGAGAGAGUCGCAAUUUUCAGAAUUAAACAAGCGUUUAUACAGCGAGAAGAAUAAUGAAAUAAUUUUUUACUCCUCUUGUCAAAUAUCUGUCUGUAUUUUUAAAACCAACGGAACAAUGAAAUAUUCUCUUUCUCUUGCAUCAUUUUGCUUUAGUAACAGAAUUAAGAAAAAAACAAAAAACAAAAUUAGACUCUGUGUUAAUAAAAUAUGCUACCAAGUCAAUAUAUUUUCACAAGUUCGUCUUUUAGAACUGUUCUAUUGCUUCUGACAUGUCGUAUAUUUUUCAGGCCAAAGUAUACAAUGACGUAUCGGAGACUUGGUUCGAAGUAAAAUAAUCAACAAUUUGUUUAUUUUGCAGAAAGAUACGAAUUGUUAGGUUGACGUACAUAGAAAAUUGAUCGUGUGUAUUUUGAAAUUUCUAACAAUAGAAGGAACAUCAAGCCUACGAAAAUACGAAGUUACUAGUACAACUGCUGCAUGAAAAUAACCACACAGAAUUUGCUUUCACGCAUUGUGCGAAACAGUGAAAGCAAUAAUAUGGCGUAAGAGCCGUCGUCGAAACGUCGAUACGCCAAAAAUCGUGUAUUGUUCGACAAGAAUCGCGUUCAAAUGGAAUUUCAGCGAGAAACAAAAUCGAUCUGACCUUCUCGACAGAAGGGUGAAACAGGAAUAACUGUACAAAGCAUUUUUUUGCGUGGCGGUAUUACAUUGCAACCAGAACGACCGCGCGACGCGAUUUCCGCGAACACGACACUACGGCGAUCUCAGCUUUUGCAACUUUCUCCUUGUUAUUCUGUUCGCUGGAGAAUCAACAAAUAAGGGCACUGGUUUAUACAGAAUAUUACAAAAAAAAGAAAAGGAUCUAGGACUAAGUUUAUAAGUAUCCGCGGAAAACAGUAAAAAAUAUACGCUUCUCUCUCGAAUUAACAUACGUAAAAAUUUAAUUCUUUUUGUGAAAAAUACAAAGCCCUUAAUAUCUUAAUCCGAAGAUUAAUUCUCUUUGGGUAAAAUAGGAAAAUUCGUUUCCACGUUUCUACGAAUCAACUUCGAUACAACUUCCUCUCGUUUCAAUACCAAUUAUCACACUCCUAAUAAUAUGAAUAUUACACUACGAAUUAAUAUUAUCAGCAAAGUUUCAGUCUCAUUACCGAGAUACAAAAAUCAUACUUCGCUAAUUGUCGACGUGAAAACUAGUCGAUCCUAAGUAUCAAAAUAACGUUUAAAUUUGUAAAAAAAAUUUUAAACUACGACGAAUAUUCAUGCGAAUAGGACCAUCCUUUUAUCGUUGCACGUCUGAACGGAUAUUAUAAACUUUAUCCUUUGGAUCACUACGAGUCAACUGACGAUAUUGACAAUAAGAUGUUCGUGCGUAACCAGCGGAAAGAUUCACCGUUACUCUUCCGAUUGGUUCGCGGGAAAAAAGGCGAGCGUUUCGCGUAAAUCAGUCGUCGCGAUACUUCCGCUCACAGUCGGUUUACACGCGGUAAACGGGAAAUAUUUGCACUGAAAAUAACGGGGCCGUUUAUGACAAACAGAGCAAGCGAAAGUAUGCACGAAACUUGGCCGUUAAACCAUGAAAGAUAAAACACUACGUGUGGGCCUUUUUAAUGUUUCGCGUAGGCCGCGAAAAUAAGCUCGCUCGGAAUCUAGAAUCUCGAAAGCAGCGAGGAAUAAUUCUGCUCGACGGGUUCUUCGUCUUUUAGAUCGUGCAUUGCACAGCUCAUAGAUCUUUGAUGGGAUUAAGAAUGAAUGGUCAAGAACGUGGAACGAAAUGGAUUCGCGGUAGGUACGAAACGAGUUCCUCGUAUCGCAAGUAGUUUCUGGUAUCCUUGAUAUGUUCGGUGUUUCGAUUAAUGGUAUAUUUUUUGAUGUAGUAUUAUUUUCGUGAAUUGGUAAUAUUCGUGAAAUAUAUAAUAUUCGAAUUAAUUAUUUCAAAGAAUAAAAUUUCUAUUGUGGGUAUAGUGGUUGUAGAAAAAAAAAAGUCAUUGGACAUGUUUUACA